GACGUGAAUUCUUCUUAUUUUUUUUUUUCAUUUCUUAAUACUCUUUUCCCUCCCCUCUCUCUCUCUCUCUCGCUCCCUUAUGUCCGCUAGUGUGUCACGAGCUAAACGCCGACCUCGAUUUCCAAACGUUACGAAAUGGGCUUCUUUUUAUAUUUCAGCGACCAAUCCCCUUACGAUGGUCACAUAGGACUAUGUUGUUGGAAACUGAUCAAAGACUGACAAUGCUAGUUGCACACGCUCCUAGUGCAGUGCGCUUCCAUACUGAAACGCAGCGAUGAUCGUGUCACGACUAAUGGAUCUUCAUUACAUACAGCAGAUAGCAGGAAAAUCGCGCAAUAAACAAAUCACUCAGAAACAAGAUUUUUAUUUUUAAUGAUCUUCUUUUUGAAAGUGUUGCCAGGUAUGAAAUGAAAGCGGAAUGUAUUUGUGGUUGACGACGCCAGCGCCGCCGUAGCGUUUGUGGUCAAAUGCUUCGUCGUUUCGUAUACAAUAGGACCAAACCGCUUCAGAUUAUUUUGAAAUUAUCAUCAUUUUAAAUAUAAAACAGGAGAGAGAAAAAUUACCCACACGUAAACCAGCAAAUAGGAUUUCUGCAUUUCCGCCCGCCACAAAACAUCAUCUCACGGACGGGUAAGAUAGAUGAUGAAUCGACGACGACUUACAGCCAUCCAUCAUGAAAGCGACCUCGUCUUUGUUUUUUGGUUUUUGUUGUUUCAAGAAUCGUUCGGUCCUUUCUCUUUUGAGAUAGCGACCCGCGCCCUACCAACAAUGUGUAGGCUUCUGGAUAAACACAAAUACAAAAAGAUGAUUCAG
rnacentral:lncRNA from 1 species